rnacentral:rRNA from 1 species
CAAACGACUCUCGGCAACGGAUAUCUCGGCUCACGCAUCGAUGAAGAACGUAGCAAAAUGCGAUACUUGGUGUGAAUUGCAGAAUCCCGUGAACCAUYGAGUUYUUGAACGCAAGUUGCGCCCAAAGCCUUUUGGCCGAGGGCACGUCUGCCUGGGCGUCACAC